GAUGAACGCUGGCGGCGUGCUUAACACAUGCAAGUCGAAGGGAAAGGCGCUGCUAUUGAGGCGGUCUCGAGUGGCGAACGAAUGGGUAAGAAGCGAGUAACCUGCCCUUGACGUACUGAGAACUACAGGGAACUGGGGCUAAUACAGGAUAGGAACUCCUGCUGCAUGGUGGGGGUUGGUAAGUUACGGCGGUGGGGGAUGGACUCGCGGCUUAUCAGCUUGUUGGUGGGGUAGUGGCUUACCAAGGCUUUGACGGGUAGCCGGCCUGAGAGGGUGACCGGCCACAUUGGGACUGAGAUACGGCCCAGACUCCUACGGGAGGCAGCAGUGGGGAGUAUUGCACAAUGCGCGGAAGCCUGAUGCAGCAACGCCGCGUGCGGGAUUAUGGCCUUCGGGUUGUAAACCGCUUUCGCCUGUGACGAAGCGUGAGUGACGGUAAUGGGUAAAGAAGCACCGGCUAACUACGUG
rnacentral:rRNA from 1 species